UCCAUCCCUCCUAUUUCCCCCCCCACACCACCAUGUGCUUAUGUCAUAAAGGGAUUGAGAUGGAACAUCAGUAUCACAAUUUCAUAGCAAUUUCAAAGGAUUCACUAUCAAAGCAAUUUGAGAUAUUUAGUAAAACUUUCUUUUAAUCCGUUCACCCUCUUUUAUCACCAUGUCAAACUUCUAAUUUAUGACAGGACCACAUAGUGGCACAUUUUAUCUUUAUAUCUCAAUAUGUCUUUUGAAAUGCGAUAGGUGGC
rnacentral:lncRNA from 1 species